AUUGAAUGCUGACGGCGUGGAUGAGGCAUGCGAGUCGCACGAAUAGGGGGCAACUCCUGUUAGUGGCGGAAGGGUUAGUAAUACAUGGGUAACUCACCUCUAACUUUGGAAUAACACCUGGAAACGGGUGCUAAUACUGGAUGUGGCGCUCUUUAGGAUCUAGAGAGCGUUAAAGCGGGGGAUCGAAAGACCUUGCGGUUAGAGAGAGGCCCAUGAGAUAUCAGCUAGUAGGUGAGGUAAGAGCUCACCUAGGCUAAGACGUCUAGGCGGAUUGAGAGAUUGACCGCCAACACUGGGACUGAGAACUGCCCAGACUCCUACGGGAGGCUGCAGUCGAGAAUCAUUCGCAAUGGGCGAAAGCCUGACGAUGCGACGCCGUGUGAGCGAUGAAGGCCUUUGGGUCGUAAAGCUCUUUCGCUUGGGAACAAGAGAGGAUGAAUAAUACUCAUCUAAUUUGAGGGUACCAGGUAAAGAAGCACCGGCUAACUACGUGCCAGCAGCGCCGUAACAC
rnacentral:rRNA from 1 species